UACAGGGGGUGCAAACGUUGCUCGGAAUCAUUGGGCGUAAAGCGCACGUAGGCGGUUCUUUAUGUCGGAUGUGAAAGCCCUUGGCUUAACCGAGGAAGUGCAUCCGAAACUGGCGAGCUAGAGUACGAAAGAGGAUCGCGGAAUUCCCGGUGUAGAGGUGAAAUUCGUAGAUAUCGGGAGGAACACCGGUGGCGAAGGCGGCGAUCUGGGUCGAUACUGACGCUGAGGUGCGAAAGCGUGGGGAGCAAACAGG
rnacentral:rRNA from 1 species